GGUACCUUUCUUGGCUGAUCCCUUUCGCUUUAUGGCGUGCUCAUUUGGGUUGGGCGUCGGCUAAGAGUGUUUGGAUCGUGGAUUAACUCCAGUCUCCAAUCAGGUAAUUUCCAGCCUUAGAUGGAUCGAGGCUGCGAGGGGCUCAGAGGAAGCCACACACACUGUUUAUGUUAUAGUUUUGAUUAUUGCUUUUAAAUAGUUUUAUGUGGGUUGUAGUAAAGCCGUUGUAAUUUCCUGGAUUUCAAAUUUGGAAUUUUAUUUAUUGUUCUUAUAAUUGCUAGUAUUAGAACACGGUUUUCCAAAACAACUACUGUUGUUCAAAACAUUACGUAACCACAAUUGUUUUUAAA